UAAGGUAAUCCUUGCUGAUGG
rnacentral:siRNA from 1 species